UGCCCCAUAGCUCAAUGGCAGAGCAAGCGGCUGUUAACCGCGAGGUUUGUAGGUUCAAGUCCUACUGGGGCAGCCA
rnacentral:tRNA from 1 species